GUAAAACAUUAUAGCCUCAUUAAGUUAUGUGUACUAACAUUUGCUAUUUAGUUCUACUACACACAGCAAGUUUUAGAUAUUCAACCCAAGUCUGUAAGUUUUCACAAAGUUAAACUUAAAGUUACAUAUUGUCUUAACUACUUGUGAGUUGUCUCUGUGAUGUGAAUGUUCAUUUAACUAACUUCUGUAAGUUAUGAAUCACAACGAGAGGGAGGGGUCGUGUCCAGAAAAGACCGGGAAAAUUUCAGUUAACUUUACCUCAGACACAGCGCUCAUCUGAAAUGACCAAUAAUACAUUUUUUUUGCAAGGCUGCAAAGGAGGUAUGUAUGAUUUUUUUUGUCUUGAUGUAAUAAAGAUGCCCUUUAUACAUUUUUAGAUAAAAAUAUUGAGUUUAAAGUAAAGAAAAUAUGCAGACAUCGAGCCUGCUUUGCGAAUGCGUCGUCGUCAGGAUAUUUAUCUGCUUUCACAUCGAAGCAUCAAAUGUUAAAAGAGUUUAAUACACCAUGGGGACAAUUUUGGAUAUUUCAAUUGGUUGUGCGUAACGUUAUAUCGAUUAUUUUGAUUAUAAAUAUAGCUUACAGUUUAACAUUUAAGCUUAACAGAUUUGUUUGUUCACUGUCAAUGUGAAUUAAUCACGGGCUGAGUCUUAAGCGUUUAAGAAACGGGUAAUGUAUUAUUGUGAUGCUUGAAAGAUUUUUAUCCUCGUGCGAUUAAGGGCACGAGGGGAAUAUGCGUUGAAAUGAACGCAAAUAGUGUCUAAUAAGUGUUCGAGGAUCUGUUCGUCUGACAUAAAGGCCAUAAAAAACCUUUAAAUAGAUUUAUAUCUCUCAGUCACUUAACAAGUGGACACAAUAUCUGUUCGUUUCCACAGAAUUAUGUGUUUAAGUCUAGCAGGGCAGCCAUUUCAGGCUACUGCGCACGCGCAUAGGUUUGCAACCUCUCGCCAGAGAAUCCCCUUUACAUGUUGUUGAUGGACGCACGUGUUUGCUGAACAUACAGGACACCAUAUGAUUAAAAACUGCCUCCCUAUCUUGUCAUAAAUAACAGGUAUUUGCAUGAUUUUUACCAUUUUAUAAUCUGUAUGUCGUAUUUUUGGUAUUUUGUACAAGAGUACUAAGUAUUUUGAUCAUAGCGAUUACAGUGGUGUAAGUUACCGGAUCGCAGACGACCAUAGACUGUAAAAAAUAGAUCACGACCCACGGUUCGGCUCCCAUGCGAUUCGCGGAUUAAUAUCUAUACAAAGUUUGUCAUUUGCAUGUUUAUUAAAGUCUUGCAAAUGUUAACACUCAAGUGAUUUUUAAACAAUUUAACCACAAAAGUCUGUUUUUACUUUUUACAGUCUCGUUUUGUCACUCUGCAUCUUGUGGCUGAUAAGCUAUUGAAGAAGAGCUGUCCAUCACUUUAUGGACAUUCAAGUUAACAUAAGUCCGCUUUUACUACUUUGUCUCGUUUGGUCACUCUGCAUCUGUGUGGCUGCAUAGAAGAAGAGCUGCUCAUCACUUUGACGACAUUCAAGUUAACAUAAGCAGUUGGUGCAUUAAGAUACCUCUCAGAGUUAUUGUGUCAUCUCAAGAAAUAAGGUGUGUCACCCUAGAGAGUUUUCCUGAGUCAGUCAAGGAGCUAUGUGUGACAUGGUGCAUCAUUCUGGGCUUGCAAGGAAACUUUCUUCUACACUUUGAGGAUCCAGACUUUGGAAAUGAGCACUGCAAUUUCACCGAUAUUAAAGAUCUACCAUCAGAUCGAGUGACACUGAAAGUUUUGUUGACAGCUUCUGGUUCGGUUUCUGACUUUGCAUUACAAUUACUACUAGUGCCUCAUCAGUGGAAUGGCCUGAUCCUUUUGUUAUUCCUGAUUUCUCUCAUGAUGUUGAACUUCAGUUGAGCGCUGCAAAUGAUGCCUAUGCCAGGGAUGGAACAGUAAUGGUCAUUUCCAAUGGUGUUAAAUACUAGACAAACCAGCUGAUGUGAAAUGUUGACUGUUUCCAAGGUCCAUCGGUUUAUUUUGUAAAAGACUUUCUUAGCGACUGGGUAUUAACAAAAAAGGUUUGGUGAUAGUUAUAUUGCAUUAAUUGUUCUUUAAAAAAAACUAACUCUAAAAUACGUGGCUUUUAAAAUAAUAAUAAUAAUACUAAUAAUUUGAAAAUUAACAGUGCAAAACUAUUUUUAUCAUAUUUGAGUUUUUAUCAGUAAAAGAAACAUUACACAUACCUGUAUCUAUUAUUACAACUAUGGUGUUGAUUUCACAGUUUAAAAACAUUAAAGAAACCCAUAUAAUAUUUAAAUGAAAUUUGUUUUUAAUAAACAUUUGUAAUAUUCAUUUUUAACAAAAAUGCUUUUCCAAGCCAAUGUUACAAAUUGUUCUUGUGCAAAUAAAUAGUUUUUGAGCUAAUAAUUUGCAA